GCAUAUCAAUAAGCGGAGGAAAAGAAACCAACAGGGAUUGCCCUAGUAACGGCGAGUGAAGCGGCAACAGCUCAAAUUUGAAAUCUGGCUUCGGCCCGAGUUGUAAUUUGCAGAGGAUGUUUCUGGCGCGGUGCCUUCCGAGUUCCCUGGAACGGGACGCCACAGAGGGUGAGAGCCCCGUAUGGUUGGACACCAAGCCUGUGUGAAACUCCUUCGACGAGUCGAGUAGUUUGGGAAUGCUGCUCAAAAUGGGAGGUAAAUCUCUUCUAAAGCUAAAUACCGGCCAGAGACCGAUAGCGCACAAGUAGAGUGAUCGAAAGAUGAAAAGCACCUUGAAAAGGGGGUUAAACAGUACGUGAAAUUGUUGAAAGGGAAGCGCUUGUGACCAGACUUGCGCCGGGCGGUUCAUCCGGGGUUCUCCCCGGUGCACUCCGCCCGGCUCAGGCCAGCAUCGGUUUUCGUUGGGGGAUAAGAACGGCAGGAACGUGGCCCUCCUUCGGGUGGGUGUUAUAGCCUGCCGUACGAUACCCUGACGGGGACCGAGGUUCGCGCUCCGCAAGGAUGCUGGCGUAAUGGUCAUCAGCGACCCGUCUUGAAACACGGACCAAGGAGUCGUCCAUUAGAGCGAGCGUUUGGGUGUCAAACCCGCACGCGUAAUGAAAGUGAAAUUAGGUGAGAGCUUCGGCGCAUCAUCGACCGAUCCUGAUGUUCUCGGAUGGAUUUGAGUAAGAGUUUUAACGGACGGACCCGAAAGACAGUGAACUAUGCUUGUAUAGGGUGAAGCCAGAGGAAACUCUGGUGGAGGCUCGCAGCGGUUCUGACGUGCAAAUCGAUCGUCAAAUAUGAGCAUGGGGGCGAAAGACUAAUCGAACUGUCUAGUAGCUGGUUACCGCCGAAGUU
rnacentral:rRNA from 1 species